rnacentral:rRNA from 1 species
CUACGGGGUGCUGCGGUGGGGAAUAUUGGGCAAUGGGCGAAAGCCUGACCCAGCAACGCCGCGUGAGGGAAGAAGGUUUUCGGAUUGUAAACCUCUGUCCUUGGUGACGAACACAAUGACGGUAGCCAAGGAGGAAGCCCCGGCUAACUACGUGCCAGCAGCCGCGGUAAUACGUAGGGGGCAAGCGUUGUCCGGAUUGACUGGGCGUAAAGGGCGUGUAGGCGGCCGAUUAAGUCUGGAGUGAAAGUCCUGCUUUCAAGGUGGGAAUUGCUUUGGAUACUGGUUGGCUUGAGUGCGGAAGAGGUAAGUGGAAUUCCCAGUGUAGCGGUGAAAUGCGUAGAGAUUGGGAGGAACACCAGUGGCGAAGGCGACUUACUGGGCCGUAACUGACGCUGAGGCGCGAAAGCGUGGGGAGCGAACAGGAUUAGAUACCCUAGUAGUC